AGACAACUCUCAACAACGGAUAUCUUGGCUCUCGCAACGAUGAAGAACGCAGCGAACUGCGAUACGUAGUGUGAAUUGCAGAAUUCCGUGAAUCAUCGAACCUUUGAACGCAUAUUGCGCCGAAGCAUCCGCGACGGCACGUCUGCCUCAGAGUCGUUG
rnacentral:rRNA from 1 species